UACGUAGGGUGCGAGCGUUGUCCGGAAUUAUUGGGCGUAAAGAGCUUGUAGGCGGUUUGUCGCGUCUGCCGUGAAAAUCCGAGGCUCAACCUCGGACUUGCGGUGGGUACGGGCAGACUAGAGUGUGGUAGGGGAGACUGGAAUUCCUGGUGUAGCGGUGAAAUGCGCAGAUAUCAGGAGGAACACCGAUGGCGAAGGCAGGUCUCUGGGCCACUACUGACGCUGAGAAGCGAAAGCAUGGGGAGCGAACAGGA
rnacentral:rRNA from 1 species